AUGGCAACUGACAAAGAGCAGAGCUACACCUGCCCUGUGGAGGCUCACAUCAGCUUCCAGAUGUUGAGCACCAUGCUGUGCCACAGUUGUGGCCAUGAACGUGAAAAUAUGGAGGAGUGUUUGAACCUGUCCGUGGCGCCUGAGGACACCAUCAUGCAAGGAAUACAGCUGUACCUGAAAGAGCAACUGCUGGAUUACAAAUGUGACUGUGGCGCCUCCCAGACGACAGAGCAAAGAUCCUUCUUCACUCUGCCAAAUGUGCUGAUCAUCCACCUAUUGAGAUUUAAGUGGUCCUACUUUGCUGCGCAAAAAAUUCACAAAGCCACAUGUUUAUCCAGGGAGCUGCUGCUCCAUACAAAUCAGAGCAGUGAGAAGACAAAAUAUACUCUGAAGAGCAUCGUCAACUAUUUGGGGAGUUGCACUACCAGCGGCCAUUACAUUUGUGAUGGAGUUUAUCGAAAUGCAAGCCAAGGGGAUGGGAAUGCCUGCUGGGUGACAUACGAUGACGACGUUGUCACAGAAACAAAUUUUAACCACGUGUGCCAGCAGCGGCAAAAAACAGCAUAUUUACUCUAUUAUGAGAAGAUGGAGAAGGAUUAGAAUCAGGACAAGAAAUAUGACUAAAUAUGUCAUUUGUUAGAACUGGUUGUCUCAGGACCCAAAAGCAGGCAACCCACAGUGGGGAAAAAUGAACUAAAAGUGCCUUUAUUCAAAACACAAGGUUCACAAGGUCUGGGUGUGGUAGAAGUUGCGGAGGAGGCCGUCGUCAAGGAUGAAUCGGCUGCAGCUUUCCCCAUCCGCUCCACCUCAGAGGGCCCCACGAAGCGAGGAGCCAGCUUCUGAGACGCAGGAGUGCAGCACGGACUUGCCUCCACACCCUCCUGCAACGGCGCAUGCUGGCCUGUACCGAGGGUACCGCUACUUCGUCCUCCUGGAUCUCAAAUAACAGAGGCUGGUACCCCAGGGAUGCCAUGAAGGGAGACAGUCCGGUGGACGCUGAGACCACGGAACUCCACGGCAGGUGGGUGAUUGACCCCCGGGUGGCAGGUCAACUUUGAGGCGUGGGCCCGUUGCAGGACAUCAGACCGCACCGCCUCCAGGACGAACAGCCGGUUCGGUGGACCUCCACCAGGAUCCGGGGCAUCCACCUCCACCACAAACUGCCAACUGGGGUCGAGUUGCGCGAGGAUGGGCGACGACGAGAACAGGCUCUUCAGCCUGCUGAAAGCGGCUUCGGCCUCGGGAGUCCAGCUGAAAACCUGUAGAGUGGAAGUGAGUCUGGUGAGUGGGGCAGCCACCUUGCUGUAGUCCCGGAUGAAGCGGCGGUAGAAGUUAGCAAAGCCCAGGAACUGUUGCAGCUGCUUCCGGGAAGAGGGAGUCGGCCACUCCAUGACUGUCUUUACCCCGGCCGUAUCCGGGGAAAGCUGUCCCCGCACCACCACGAACUCCAGAAAGGAGAUGGUGGUGUGGAACUCGCACUUCUCAGCCUUCACAAUAAGACGGUUCUCCAGGAGCCGUCGGAGGAUGAAAUGGACAUGCAGAACGUGUUGUUUCCGAAACCACACCCUCGUUCCCUACUCACUAGUCACUACAUGGGGAACAUGGAUUGAGUGAACUACGUAGCACACUCAAUUUAAAGUUAGUACAACGGUGUCAUUUACGGCGCAUGUAAAGUGACGUCAUGGUGUCGCAUAAUAAUUACGAACCGGUCGCCGGGAAAAGUGGCCAGGUCCAUUUAAUUAUUUUAACCCAUCAGAAAUACAUUCAGCGGUCAUUUUAUGAAAAUGCUAUAUUUUACCCUAUAAUCAACUUUAUAUAAUAAAAUUAAAUAUUAAUGUCAAUAAUAAUACAAUAAUAAUUACUUAUUACCUAAAAUAAUUAGUGUCCCUUGACAUUUUCAAGCCAAGACGUGAUGGUACAUUCUCAAGUCAUAUUCCGCUGUAGUGAAAACAUUUAAUAAAGCAAUUUUUCAUCAAAAAAUGGAUCCAGAGCUACUUUUCAUCUUUGUAAAUAUUCUUUUCCUGAGUUUCUGUCGCCUGGUGAGGAACAGACGAUUCCGAAGAACAAUUUUAAGUGAGGGGCGGGGGGAUCAGUGAUUGAUUGAUUUUUUUUUUUUUACACAUUUAUGUUGUAAU
ensembl:lncRNA